GAAAAAUUUAAAACUAUGAUAUUGAUAGCCACAAAAUCAACUACUUAAUUUAAAUAGUGCUAGCUUUACAAAAACAUCCACGCUUGGUUUUGCCCCUGGAGAAACUAGACCAAGUUGGACUUGUGUAGGAUACAAAAAAAUAAGCAAAGGCAAGCGUGGUACACGAAAUUUGUCCAUCAAACUUCAGUUACACAACCCCUGAAGGAAGGCGCAAAACCAGCUGUCCUCCGAAAACACUUUUAACGUAGUAGUAACAGAAGUCUGCUAAGAUGAAUGUCUGAACAACUUCAGAUAUAAGCACCAUUGAAGGCCAUAGACCAUGACCCAACGCAACUAGUAGAUGGCCGUUACUGUCCAAAACCUGGAGAAUCCAAUGAGCGCAGCUUAAGAACCUCGCAACA
rnacentral:misc_RNA from 1 species